GUCGCGCAGCGCGUUCAGUGCUCGCCAGGCAGCCGACCCGAUCGCACCGUUCGGAUUGCCGCCGCUCGCCUUCCGCCACUCUCGCGGAUACUCGCAGCCCUCGCGGAUACUCAGCGCCACCAGGCCCUCCCCGCACCGACUCGCCCGCCAACCAGGACAGGAUGACCAGCCCCCAGAGCAAGCCCAAGAGAAAGUGGCACUUCCCCACCGGGGACGGCGACAGCGCGCUGCCCACCAUCUCGCUGCCCGAGGGGGUGUCCAUGUCGGGGCUGCUCGGCCCCCAGGACGCGCCCCGCGGCUACGCCUGGACCCGCCUGUGGCGCUUCGCCGCCCUGCUGCUGCACACCGGCUGCUGAAUGCGCCAAGCUGCCCCGGUGCCGCGACACAACAUCGCCGCCUCCACAGCAACAACAACAGCAACAACAACCACCCCUUCUCACUCACAGUCGCGCAUUCCCCAGACGCCCAAACACCAUUAAUUCAUCGUGAUGCAUUUUACUGUGGAUAUUUUGCUGUGUCGCUUCACUGUCGCUUGUAAAAACUCACCCACGACUUGACGUUUUCACCAUGUCGGAAAAAAAUUGGUGCUUGAUUUUUCGUAAAAGCUUUCUUUUUCAUUCUGGUCGUUGAAAGUUGUUUAGGGAUUUUGUGAUUAUGAAGGGGGAAUCUGCACACCAACAUGUCAGAUCGAUUUGUACAGUCUGUGUUCCUUUGAUGUUUUAGAAACCUAGGAUUUUACAGGACUGGGUGGGUCCUUGCUUUCAAAAUUAGAAGCAAGCUUUAUUUCUGAAAGGAAAGUCGUAAGUGGGGCAAAUUGUGGGUGGUGAAUAGAUGUUCUUUUCAAUUAAAGACAAGUAUAGGAAAUCUGCUGAAAGUGUCUUUAGUGGUUUUCAUUGACCCUUCUCUUUAAAAACUUCUUAACAUGAUGAAACAAUAGAAAGUUCUACUCCAUGAAGAACAUAUUUUACUCCCUUAUUGUGCCUUAUUGGGAUACAGAACUGUGAGUGAAAACCACUAAUGGAACUUUGCAGGCAUUUGUUUUCCAUGUAAAAUUUUAUUUAAAAAUGUACUUUGUAGUGUUACAUUUACUUCCCAUUCAUUUAUGAGUCAAUUUUUAAAGUAAAGUACAAUAAAAUAUUAUUACUUUUCAUCUAGAGAGUUCCAAAGCACAAAUCAUUCUGUAGAAAGUCAUUUAAAUGGACAUUGAGUUGGGUGUUGGUCUCUUUUAUCUCACAUUGUCACAGUCGCUCUCAUAUGAAAACCAACAUUUAACAAAGCACUGUUUUGAAAAUCUUCCAUGUGUUACAAUAAUUAUUGUGAGCAAUAAUAUCUCACAAGUAUAAAUGAGAGUGAGAUUAUGGAAACUAGCAUCCCAAUUGGCUGUAGAAAUUUGUUCUGAGUAAUAACAUAAUUGCUGUUGGUGUAAUAGUCUAUUAAGAUCAAUUCUUCUGUUUGAAAUCUUGUAGCUCAGCAGGGUUGAGUAAUUAGCGCUGAAUCUGGGUGUUGUUAUAAUAUGUGUUGCUUCUAUUGAUUCACAUGCAAUUUAUCGGCUGUUGACUAUUAUUACUGAUAAGGCUGAUAAACAGACAGGAGACAAGAGUAUGUAUGUGCGAGUGAAUGUGUGGAUGUUAAAUACUUCAUAUUCAGGGGGAAAUGUGCCAUUGCUACCGCUUGGUUCUUGCUGAUUUUCCAAAACAACAGAUUGCCUAAUUUAUCACACGGAGCAGCAUAGGCACUUGCCAUGCCUGAUGCAAUUCUGGACAGCUUCCCCGGCGGUAGCCCCCGUGUGAAAGGAAGAGUGAGAGUGGAAAAAUUAUUGGUUUAGGGCAAAAUGUUGGAUCAGUCUCUCUGAAAGUUGAUUAACAUCAAAUUGGAUGUGAGAUUUAAUUCCUACUUCUUUAGUAAACUUAGAUUUUCAAAGUAUCUUUUGUUAAUAACUAUUAUUUUUUAAACUCACGUUUUAGGUACUUGAUUUAUUGUGUCCUCCAACUAGUCUGUUCAGGAUGGAAAUGGAUGAAGUAUACACAUGUCGUGGUCUGUUCCCAUUACUACAACACUUCUAAUGUAAAAAUACAUCUACCUGUGUUGUUUGAACUUGUAUCAAUUAUGUUGUGAUAGAAUCAUCAGUAACAAGUCUUCACUUGUUCUCUAGUGCAAUUUUCUCUUGAAUUAUGAAAUUUUGAUGUUGUAGGUGCCUUAGUUGAUAUGUUCCAGUUUCUCAUUAGGGUGUUAUUAUAGCAGCCUCUUUGCAGGCUCAUGUGUUAUGUUAUAAUAAUUUGUAAUUGUAUUAUAUAAAUAAAUGUGUGAGAGAAUAAAGAAGAAAUUUCAUCAAAAUGACUUCAAAUAAACCCAAAAACAUUCA